rnacentral:rRNA from 1 species
CCUACGGGUGGCAGCAGUGGGGAAUAUUGCACAAUGGGGGAAACCCUGAUGCAGCGACGCCGCGUGAGUGAAGACGUCUUUCUGUAUGUAAAGCUCUAUCAGCAGGGAAGAUAAUGACGGUACCUGACUAGUCAUCCCCGGCUACCGACGUCACAGCAUCGGCGGUCAUACGUCGGGGGCACGCGUUAUCCGGAUUUACUGGGUGUAAAGGGAGCGUAGGUGGCAGGGCAAGUUAGUUGUGAAAACCCGGGGCUCAACCCCGGGAGUGCAUUUGAAACUGUCCAGCUGGAGUGCAGGAGAGGUAAGCGGAAUUCCUAGUGUAGCGGUGAAAUGCAUAGAUAUUAGGAGGAACACCAGUGGCGAAGGCGGCUUACUGGACUGUAACUGACACUGAGGCUCGAAAGCGUGGGGAGCAAACAGGAUUAGAUACCCUUGUAGUC